GACGAACGCUGGCGGCGUGCUUAACACAUGCAAGUCGAACGGAAAGGCCCUGCUUUUGUGGGGUGCUCGAGUGGCGAACGGGUGAGUAACACGUGAGUAACCUGCCCUUGACUUUGGGAUAACUUCAGGAAACUGGGGCUAAUACCGGAUAGGAGCUCCUGCUGCAUGGUGGGGGUUGGAAAGAUUCGGCGGUGGGGGAUGGACUGGCGGCUUAUCAGCUGGUUGGUGGGGUAGUGGUGUACGAAGGCUUUGACGGGUAGCCGGCCUGAGAGGGUGGCCGGCCACAUUGGGACUGAGGUACGGCCCAGACUCCUACGGGAGGCAGUAGUCGGGAAUAUUGCACAAUGGGCGGAAGUCUGAUGCAGAAACGCCGCGUGCGGGAUGACCGCCUUCGGGGUGUAAACCGCUUUCGACUGUGACGAAGCGGGAGUGACGGUAAUGGGUAAAGAAGCACCGGCUAACUACGUG
rnacentral:rRNA from 1 species